CGCAGCGAGCAGGGUUCGAUCUUGGGCGCGCAAUGGCCAUUAGAUUCCAAAUCCAACUCCUUGACCACUCAGACAUCGCUGC